rnacentral:rRNA from 1 species
AUUGAACGCUGGCGGCAUGCUUUACACAUGCAAGUCGAACGGCAGCGCGGGCUUCGGCCUGGCGGCGAGUGGCGAACGGGUGAGUAAUGCAUCGGAACGUGCCCAGUAGUGGGGGAUAGCCCGGCGAAAGCCGGAUUAAUACCGCAUACGACCUGAGGGUGAAAGCGGGGGACCGAAAGGCCUCGCGCUAUUGGAGCGGCCGAUGUCGGAUUAGCUAGUUGGUGGGGUAAAGGCUUACCAAGGCGACGAUCCGUAGCUGGUCUGAGAGGACGACCAGCCACAAUGGGACUGAGACACGGCCCCGACUCCUACGGGAGGCAGCAGUGGGGAAUUUUGGACAAUGGGGGCAAACCUGAUCCAGCCAUGCCGCGUGCGGGAAGAAGGCCUUCGGGUUGUAAACCGCUUUUGUUCGGGAAGAAAUCCUCUGGGCUAAUACCCCGGGGGGAUGACGGUACCGGAAGAAUAAGCACCGGCUAACUACGUG